AGGACGAACGCUGGCGGCGUGCUUAACACAUGCAAGUCGAGCGGAAAGGCCCUUCGGGGUACUCGAGCGGCGAACGGGUGAGUAACACGUGAGUAAUCUGCCCCUAGCUCUGGGGAUAGCUCCGGGAAAACCGGGAUUAAUACCGGAUAUGACCACUUUAGACAUCUGUUGUGGUGGAAAGAAUUUCGGCUAGGGAUGAGCUCGCGGCCUAUCAGCUUGUUGGUGGGGUAACGGCCUACCAAGGCGACGACGGGUA
rnacentral:rRNA from 1 species